rnacentral:lncRNA from 1 species
UAGCUCAGUGGGCUUACUUCUGCUUUCCUUACCAUAUAGCUUAUAGCUCAGUGGGCUUACUUCUCUUAUCUAAUAUCCAAAUCGGAUUAAUAGUGUUUUUACUACUCCACUUUCUUAUUAGAUGCUUCAAACAAGCAAACAAAUAGACUCUUAAGAAACAUACAUAUAUAUAUGUGUGAACAACUCGCUAACGUGUCGCUAAUGUGAGUUUUGGUUGAUUCCGUUACUCUUUCUAUAACAUGUGUUUGUUCUACUCUUUUCAAUAUAGCAUCUCCUCAAUCAGUCAUAUAUUACUGUUCUUAUAAUAGUCUAGUCUCUUUGGGAAGCAAAGCAGUGUAUUUACUCAACCCUUGAAUAAUUGAUUGAUAAUGAUUGACACCACUUCUAAUAGAAGAGAGAAUCUGACCUUAAUAUGGGUGGAAGAGAGAAUCUGACCUUAAUAUAGGUGGAAGAGAGAAUCUGACCUUAAUAUAGGUACUCUUUGAUCUAGAAAUAGAUAAGAUUAUCUAGUACUACUUCACUUUCUCUAUAAUUGCUGUAAGUACUUAUUGAUCCCAUCUAUAUCCGUUAAUCUUUUGAUCUUAUCUCUAUCUGCUGCUAAUCUAAUGAAAGUGAUUCGGGGAGUUCAGUGAGAUGCCAUUAUCUUUAUCAUUCCAAGACUUCGCGCAAAAGGAUAAGUUCCUUCCUCAUGGUUCCAAAAAGAGAGUAAGUGCCACAGAGCUCUUAUUCCACAAGAUCGCUAAUGCCUUCUGGCAACUGACUUAAGAUAGUCAAGAAAGACCCCGCUAAUGCUCUGAGGAUUGAGAAUAGGCCCUUACUGCUCUGCUCUCUCUCCUUGCGGCUUGCCAUUAAGUUGUUUAAAGCAGCUCCUUCUUCCACUCCAGGCAAGAUCCUCAAAGCUAUAUCUCACUUACUUCCUUCUGUGCAUAAAUGCUCUACAAGAAUUAGUACCUCGCGCAAAUCCUCAAAGCUAUCUCACUCACUUUUCCUUCUGUACCAUCAAUGCUACAAGAAUAGGCCUCAAAUGCUAAUGUAGGAAUUGGAUCUUCCUAUGCUUUCUUUGUCCCAACUCUCUUAUCUCUUACUGCUCCCUUUCUGAUGUACUCUCAUUUCUGUCUCUCGUACUCGGGCAAUUGCUUAUCCUCACUGUGAUGGACCAUUCGCUUUCAGUAAAGUAAGGCCGGCAUAUUCACACUUGGAUUCCAUAGUUGUCUAUGAAUGCAUGCUAUCAAUCAAUCCGCUUAUAGGAAAAUGCCAUUAUCUGCUUGCUUGCCUUGUGCUUAUCCUUCUACUAUUAAUGCUACCUCUUAAAGAAAGCUACCAGCUAUUCCAAAAGAGGCAGACUCUAGUCCUAUCUCUUCACGAAUUGGGCCAGCCUCUAGAUGUCAAUCAGAUCUCGGAUCUAGGUUCAGAAUCCUACCUUAUGCUCUUCCUCCCUCGCCCUCGGGUAACUGAACAACCUGUCUUUCGAGAUUCACUCUUUUAGUUAUUUCGUUUGUCAAAUGAUAAUAAGUCAAAUGGCAAUCGUAGAUCGUAGAAUACAAUACUAAGUAUUUCAAUCGACGAGGUUUCGAAGAACGACAACAAGGAGAGGAGUUAAGCCUGCUUAGCACAGGUAACAUGUGCCCCCUAGAAUCAUUAAGAAGGUGCCCCCUACUGGACCGGAAUCUCCAUCUCGAUUAGGAACUAACAAAAUGAUUCUUCAUGGCUGUUUCCAUUCUAUUAUGAGGUCAUGCCCCACUAGUUGGCUCUUUCUUUUGAAUUAAGGGUCCUGUGCCAUGAGUUAGGUAUUACUAUCUUUGCUGAGUUAUAAUGAGAGCUAAGUGUAUAUGCUUAAGCAGGAUGUUAUUAUGUCUGGUAUGAUCUUUCCCUUCUUUUCUGACCUUUCCAACUUUAGGGUUCCACCUCACUGAGUUGAUUGGGUUAGUUAGAGAUAUCCUCUUUAGUGAUCGAGAGUUCGCCCAUGGGACUUGUGGGGCAUCACUAUGCUAAGGGUAUUCUAGGUUGUAAAUGCUUUUGGUUUGGUCUGAUUCAUGAGAUAGCCAGAGAUUCUAUUGUGAGAUAGCCUUCCAUUCUCUUGAUGAUUUCUUUUAGCUUCUCUGUUUUAGUGAUCUUCGUAUCUUCUUUAUUAUACUUAGUGAUUCCCGGGGAUGAUGAGGAUUUGGAUAUCUCUUUCUAUAUGAAUACCACAGCCACACACACCGGGGUUCUGAGACAAAUACAUUCUACAGAAGGGAAGCGAUGGGACUGAUAACACAGACGCGAGUAAACCUCCUUUCCUUUGAUUGAGUAAAAUCCGAUAUGAUCAAGCCACUAGAGCACGCACAGCGAGAGUAGCCAUUGGCCAAAAAGGCACAAAAUCAACAGUCGGGGCAAAAAGAUAGGCUUGUUAUUGCAUGUCUUAGUGAUCGCCGGAGCUUUCUCUAUGCGAAGAUCUUUCUUUGUUAAAGUAGUGAGGAGAGCGAAAAAAGAGCUAGCUUUACACUAAUGAAAGAGUUAGCUUGACACUAAUGAAGAUGUACCCCCUUUCUAUCCUCGGAAAAGUCAGUCCUAUUCCACUUUCCAGCAUUGAGGUUUCCCAGCCUUGAUUGUUUGAAAGCAGUGGCUACUAGAUAGAAGAGAAAGGGCUAGCCUGGUCAUCAGCACUGAGCAUCUGGCUUGAAGAAGAAUCUUAGUGAAUACUAGCGGUUCCUAUCCGCAUUGAGUAGGUAUUAGGUCUCCACUUUUCUUUAGAUAUUCUAAAUGAACGGUACUUAUGUGACAAAGACAGACUUUCUUACUGGGGUAGCUACUAAGGUGAAGGUAAUGGUUUUUGAACAGCUAUGGAUAGGUGAAGCCAAGGGGCGGAUCCCGUUAUGUUGUUCUGACAUGUGAUUAACCCAAUCCGCAGCGUUGCCCUCUUUCACUGGUGAGGCGGCAUAGCCUGUUUCCAUAAAGUCAUUCAUGUUGAAGGUGGUCGCCCAUUGACUUCGUUUUAAGCACUUAUUCUUAUAUGCUAACUUCGAUGCUCUAUUUUUGCCUUGCUUCGGGCCCUCGCCCGGAGAAGAGACGUAGCAGACAUGUCCCAAGCAGAACGACCAUGCCCGGAAACCCCAGGUGGCGUGGAAGACAGGUUCCCGAACAUAAUGAGUCGAAAGCGCAAAUGGCCAAAUAGGGUUCGGAAAGAAGGGUCAACAGAGUCUCGGAAUCCAAAUGAGAAUCUAAGAGGCCCUCUACGUCUUUCAAAAAGAAUUACCCGUAUUACUAAAUCCUGCCUUCCUUCUUUUGGCUUGUCUCAUUCUUCUUCCAUCCAUUUAUAUCAAAAUCAUAUAUCAAAUCAUAAAGAAAUACAAAAUAGAAGCAAAAACACGGAAUGAAACUUUGGAUGCUUAGCUUAACAAACCCAUUUCGCAGAGCAUCCGCCUGGUCCUUACCUGUUUAUAGUGCCCCUUAAUCAAACGGCAUCAUAAGGGUAAUUCGCACGUCACAUCCACGGGACAAAGGUUCUAUUGUAACUGCCAAUACAAAUAGAAAG